rnacentral:rRNA from 1 species
GAUGAACGCUGGCGGCGUGCCUAAUACAUGCAAGUCGAACGGACAGCUUCGGCUGUUAGUGGCGAACGGGUGAGUAACGCGUUGGUGACCUGCCCUGGAGUGAGGGAUAACAGGCCGAAAGGCUUGCUAAUACCGCAUGGGCAACUGGGAGAUUAGCAACCUGGUUGCAAAGGAGAAAUCCGCUCUGGGAGGGGCCUGCGUCCCAUCAGCUAGUUGGUAAGGUAACGGCUUACCAAGGCGAUGACGGGUAGGGGACCUGAGAGGGUGGCCCCCCACAAUGGAACUGAAACACGGUCCAUACACCUACGGGAGGCAG